GGCGGGGGAUGGAGGUGGGGGCUGUACUUGUGCUCUGAGCCUGCCCGCUGGCUGUGGGGACCUGACCUUUUCUGCACUGAGGGGAAGGAAUGGGGUAAUUAGCUUAUAUAAUCCCCGGCCUGCCUGCUGUUUGCUGUGGAUGUGGACAAACUCCAUGAAAAUGUGGACUUCUGGGCUGCUGCUGUGGGAUCCCUUCAGAGGGCUCGCCGAAGUAAUACAGGACAGUGCAUGCGCGAUUGUGCAGCCCCAGGAGCGUUCACAAACUGAACACAUCUGUGCCGCCGGCAUCCAGAUUCAGAAACAGGAAGUGACCAGCACAACCCCCUUCAUGCCCCUCCCAACCACCACCGCACAACGACCCCACCAUCCUGGCUUCUGUAGCAUUGAUCAGAUUUGUCUGUUUCUGCACUUUAUAUAAAUGGAAUCAUACA